UUGUUACUGUUUUAAAUCCUUCUUGUACACUGAUUGUACUGUGGGGACGAAAGUCUCUGCUUUGAACUAGAUAGCAACUUUCAGCAGUGGAUGUCUAGGCUCGCACAUCGAUGAAGAACGCUGCGAACUGCGAUACGUAAUGCGAAUUGCAGGAUUCAGU
rnacentral:rRNA from 1 species